UGGCGGCUGAGAGCCCCGGAGGGGCCCCGUGAGGCAACCGCAGUCGGUCCCCCUUGCACA
rnacentral:snoRNA from 21 species